rnacentral:rRNA from 1 species
UACGUAGGGUGCGAGCGUUGUCCGGAUUUAUUGGGCGUAAAGAGCUCGUAGGCGGUUUGUCGCGUCGGCCGUGAAAUCUCCACGCUUAACGUGGAGCGUGCGGUCGAUACGGGCAGACUUGAGUUCGGUAGGGGAGACUGGAAUUCCUGGUGUAGCGGUGAAAUGCGUAGAUAUCAAGUGGAACACCAGUGGCGAAGGCGAGUCCCUGGACAAGACCUGACACUGAGGCACGAAAGCCAGGGGAGCAAACAGG